rnacentral:rRNA from 1 species
GACGAACGCUGGCGGCGUGCUUAACACAUGCAAGUCGAACGAAGUGGCGAACGGGUGAGUAACGCGUAAUCAACCUGCCCUUCAGAGGGGUACAACAGUUGGAAACGACUGCUAAUACCGCAUACUGAAGGAGGGGAUUGCGUCUGAUUAGCUAGUUGUAGGGGUAACGUCCAACCCAGGCGAUGAUCAGUAGGAGGUCUGAGAGGAUGAACGGCCACAAGGGGACUGAGACACGGCCCAGACUCCUACGGGAGGCAGCAGAGGGGAAUCUUAAGCAAUGGGCGAAAGUCUGACGGAGCAACGCAGCGUGAGUGAUGACGGCCUUCGGGUUGUAAAGCUCUGUUAAUCGGGACGCGGUACCGGAAUAGAAAGCAACGGCUAAAUACGUGCCAGCAGCCGCGGUAAUUC